CCUACGGGUGGCAGCAGUCGAGAAUCAUUCACAAUGGGGGAAACCCUGAUGGUGCGACGCCGCGUGGGGGAAUGAAGGUCUUCGGCUUGUAAACCCCUGUCAUGUGGGAGCAAAUUAAAAAGAUAGUACCACAAGAGGAAGAGCCGGCUAACUCUGUGCCCGCAGCCGCGGUAAUACAGAGGUCUCAAGCGUUGUUCGGAAUCACUGGGCGUAAAGCGUGCGUAGGCUGUUUCGUAAGUCGGGUGUGAAAGGCGCGGGCUCAACCCGCGGACGGCACAUGAUACUGCGAGACUAGAGUAGUGGAGGGGGAACCGGAAUUCUCGGUGUAGCAGUGAAAUGCGUAGAUAUCGAGAGGAACACUCGUGGCGAAGGCGGGUUCCUGGACAUUAACUGACGCUGAGGCACGAAGGCCAGGGGAGCGAAAGGGAUUAGAUACCCUGGUAGUC
rnacentral:rRNA from 1 species